AUACUUAUCUGGUAUGGGAGAUACCAUGAUCCAGAAGGUGGGUUUUCCAGGGUGAGGCUCAUUCAUUGCACACCAAAUGGUUUGAUCCCUGUGAUUUCCUCAAAUGCAGCAUACUCAAACUGCAUAAUUUGUGGUUGUGGGGGACUAUGUUUGUGCUGUCCCUUG